rnacentral:rRNA from 1 species
UACAGAGGUGGCAAGCGUUGUUCGGAAUUACUGGGCGUAAAGGGCGCGUAGGCGGUCCCGUAAGUUCCGCGUGAAAUCCCCCGGCUCAACCGGGGAAUGGCGCGGAAGACUGCGGGGCUUGAGUUCGGGAGAGGGAAGCGGAAUUCCGGGUGUAGCGGUGAAAUGCGUAGAUAUCCGGAGGAACACCGGUGGCGAAGGCGGCUUCCUGGACCGACACUGACGCUGAGGCGCGAAAGCUAGGGGAGCAAACGGG